rnacentral:rRNA from 1 species
AGUGGCGGACGGGUGAGUAACGCGUGGGUAACCUGCCUUGUACAGGGGGAUAACAGUUAGAAAUGACUGCUAAUACCGCAUAAGACCACAGCACCGCAUGGUGCGGGGGUAAAAACUCCGGUGGUAUGAGAUGGACCCGCGUCUGAUUAGCUAGUUGGUAAGGUAACGGCUUACCAAGGCGACGAUCAGUAGCCGACCUGAGAGGGUGACCGGCCACAUUGGGACUGAGACACGGCCCAA